AUUGAACGCUGGCGGAAUGCUUUACACAUGCAGGUCGAACGGCAGCACGGACUUCGGUCUGGUGGCGAGUGGCGAACGGGUGAGUAAUGUAUCGGAACGUGCCCAGUCGUGGGGGAUAACGUAGUGAAAAUUACGCUAAUACCGCAUACGAUCUAUGGAUGAAAGCGGGGGAUCGCAAGACCUCGCGCGAUUGGAGCGGCCGAUAUCAGAUUAGGUAGUUGGUGGGGUAAAGGCCCACCAAGCCAACGAUCUGUAGCUGGUCUGAGAGGACGACCAGCCAGACUGGAACUGAGACACGGUCCAGACUCCUACGGGAGGCAGCAGUGGGGAAUUUUGGACAAUGGGCGAAAGCCUGAUCCAGCCAUUCCGCGUGCAGGAUGAAGGCCCUCGGGUUGUAAACUGCUUUUGUACAGAACGAAAAGGUUUCUACUAAUACUAGGAGCUCAUGACGGUGCUGUAAGAAUAAGCACCGGCUAACUACGUGCCAGCCGCCGCAGUAA
rnacentral:rRNA from 1 species